AAACUGCGAUAAGUAGUGUGAAUUGCAUUUAGUGAAUCAUCGAAUCUUUGAACGCACCCUGCACUCACUGGUAUUCCGGUGAGUACGCCUGUUUCAGUAUCAUUGAAAACACACAAUCAAAACAUUUUCUUUGGUUUGAUUGGCUUUGGGUCUAUCAAAAAGUUUGGCUUGUUUCUUACAAGCCAAGCGGCCUGAAAUAUUUUGUCUGGCUAAUUGCAUCGUUGAUGAUCGCUAUUAGACUUUGGCUUUUUUAAAUGAACUGGAGGUUGAUUAACCAGUUUUAGCUUUAGUCAAAUGGUCAUUGUAAAAAAAAUCUCGAUCUUGGCUAGGUGUUUAUAGCCGAAAAUUUUUUUUUGGCUAUAACCGAAACCAAUAUAAUCACAUUUAGUUAUCGAUCUGAAAUCAGGUGGGACUACCCGCUGAACUUAAGC
rnacentral:misc_RNA from 1 species